GACGGGUGAGUAACACGUGGGUAACCUGCCCAUAAGACUGGGAUAACUCCGGGAAACCGGGGGUAAUACCGGAUAACAUUUUGAACCGCAUGGUUCGAAAUUGAAAGGCGGCUUCGGCUGUCACUUAUGGAUGGACCCGCGUCGCAUUAUCUAUUUGGGGAGGUAACGGGUCACCAAGGCAACGAUGCGUAUCCGACCUGAGAGGGUGAUCGGCCACACUGGGACUGAGACACGGCCCAGACUCCUACGGGAGGCAGCAGUAGGGAAUCUUCCGCAAUGGACGAAAGUCUGACGGAGCAACGCCGCGUGAGUGAUGAAGGCUUUCGGGUCGUAAAACUCUGUUGUUAGGGAAGAACAAGUGCUAGUUGAAUAAGCUGGCACCUUGACGGUACCUAACCAAAAAGCCACGGCUAACUACGUGCCAGCAGCCGCGGUAAUACGUAGGUGGGAAGCGUUAUCCGGAAUUAUUGGGCGUAAAGCGCGCGCAGGUGGUUUCUUAAGUCUGAUGUGAAAGCCCACGGCUCAACCGUGGAGGGUCAUUGGAAACUGGGAGACUUGAGUGCAGAAGAGGAAAGUGGAAUUCCAUGUGUAGCGGUGAAAUGCGUAGAGAUAUGGAGGAACACCAGUGGCGAAGGCGACU
rnacentral:rRNA from 1 species